GUGCUUGCUUUGGCAGCACAUAUACUAAAAUUGGAAUGAUACAGAGAAGAUUAGCAUGGCACUUGUGCAAAGAUGACACACAAAUUUGUGAAGCAUUUCAUAUUUUU
rnacentral:snRNA from 1 species